GCAGGGUAAGGAGUUCGAGACGCGGCUGAAGGAGAAGAAGCCGGGCGACCUUUCGGACGAGCUGCGCAUCGCCCUGGGGAUGCCGGUGGGGCCGCGGUGAGCCCUGAUGGCGGUGAGCCCUGAUAGCGGUGAGCCCUGAUAGCGGUGAGCCCUGAUAGCGGUGAGCACUGAUAGCGGUGAGCACUGAUAGCGGUGAGCCCCGAUGGCGGUGAG